GCUUAAUUCCUUCACGCCAAACUUCUCAAGUUCGAUUCCCAGUUCCAACGUUUAUGUUCUCUUGUUAUUUAACUUAACUAAUCCUAGCCGUCCAUUCCAGUUCUGAUAAUCUCAGCCCUUGUAAGUCUUAGUAUACCUGACCCUAACCUCAUCCUCACGAGAGUGCUCAUCUCCUCCAACUUUCUGCCGAUUAUGGAUGUCUUCCCUGCAUCCUCAUUUCUAUAUAUUUUUUUUCUCCAGCAACCCCUUGUGGUCCCUUUCGAUUUCUUCCCCAUAUCUAGAUUUCUUUGAUUUAAAGCCUCUUUAUUUUUUUUUUUCGUUUAUUUAUGUAGCUCUCAAUAUCCUUUCCAUCGACCACCACUCUCCUCUCAUUUGCUUGUCCUUUCUCUCCUAAUUGGCCAGCGCUUUCCUCUUUGAUUUUGGGAGUUCUUAUGGUCUCAGCAUCAGCAACAAUUCUCCUUUCGCAUAAGCAAGUCACAGCUAGCAGAGAGAUCAACAAUUCUCCUCUGUGAUUUUUGGGAGUUAUUUUCUCUUACUAGCCCAGAUAGAAGAAUCUUUUACAUUUAAAUCUAUGCUACUUGAUGGGUUUUAUUAAUUUGUUAGGACAGGAAAUGUAAUAUUAUCUACCGUUCAAGCAUUAGCUUCUUUGGCUUCUUUGGGAAAACAAUUAUCUUGGGAGAUGAGUUUGUUGGUGGUAAUUCUAAUCAAGUAUGCUAUAGCAACGACAAUUGAACACGAACUCCAAACCUAUCCCAACUCAAAUCGCAAAAGAUGUGUUAAAAAUAUUCGUCUCCUAUUGGGUUAUAUGGCAAUUGUGCUACUUGCUUGGAUUCAUUUUCUCAGCUAUGGUGUAUUACUUUUGAGUUUAUGCGUCUACUUUGUUAUACGAUUUGCACGCAAUCCAUAUCAAGACUUAUGUUUAUUAGUAGGCGAAGAUUUGCAGUACUUAAAGGUGCUAGUUGAAGGUAAAAUCCAAAGGCUAUUUGGCAGGGAGGAGAGAGACACUGAGGAGAGAGGCAGGGAGGAGAGAGACACUGAGGAGAGAGCCGCUGAAAAUGUAGCCGCUGGAAAUGUCUAGUUGGGUAUAUCACUCUAGUAAACCUGAUUUGUCUUUAAAAGUUUAGAUUUCUCUAUAAAAUGUAUGAUUUUAGCAAUAAUUAUAAUAGUUUAAAUGUGAUAGUUUAGUCCAUAUUAAUGUAUCUGAGUUUUAGAAUUAAUAUUUGAGUUGGAGAAUUUUGAAAGGGUGUUCAUUGAAAUUUUGAAAUUUAUUUA